rnacentral:lncRNA from 1 species
UAGGUUGUUUCCAUCGUUUUUUUUAUUGCGUGCACACACGUUUACUUAUUAUUUUUGCUCUUAGUUUGUCGAAACUAAUGAGUUUGGAUGUGUGUGUUCAGGUAUGGACUUUGAUCUUGAUGGGGUAUUGAAGACUCUGCCAGGAGGCGAUGAGGGGCAUGCCUUUGUUGAUGGUUAGCUCUUGUGCUCACCUCUUCCUUCCUCCCCCCUUCCCCUUUUUUUUUACUCUACCUUGUGACCUUAAUGGAUUCUAACUUAUAUGUGCAGGGGCAGAGCUUGAUCUUGAAGGGGUUAUGGAUUUCUUGCCUGUCCAGGGGCAAGAGGGUGAGG